CAUCGGUGACAGGUGGUGGCAUGGUUGUCGUCAGCUCGUGUCGUGAGAUGUUGGUUAAGUCCCGCAACGAGCGCAACCCCUAUUGUUAGUUGCCAUCAUUCAGUUGGGCACUCUAGCGAGACUGCCGGUAAUAAACCGGAGGAAGGUGGGGAUGACGUCAAAUCAUCAUGCCCCUUAUGACCUGGGCUACACACGUGCUACAAUGGUUGGUACAACGAGUUGCGAGUCGGUGACGGCGAGCUAAUCUCUUAAAGCCAAUCUCAGUUCGGAUUGUAGGCUGCAACUCGCCUACAUGAGGUCGGAAUCGCUAGUAAUCGCGGAUCAGCACGCCGCGGUGAAUACGUUCCCAGGCCUU
rnacentral:rRNA from 1 species